GUACUUGCUUCAGCAGCACACACAUUAAAAUUGGGAGAAUACAAAGAUUAGCAUAGUCCCUGUGCAAGGAGGCCAGGCAAUUCAUGAAGUGUUACAUAUUUAC